AAUCAACGCUGGCGGCGUGCCUCAGACAUGCAAGUCGAACGAUUAAAGCUCUCUUCGGAGAGUGUAUAGAGUGGCGCACGGGUGAGUAACACGUAAGUAAUCUACCUUUGAGUGGGGAAUAACGUCCGGAAACGGACGCUAAUACCGCAUAAUGCAGCGGCAUCGCAAGAUGACAGUUGUUAAAGAUUUAUCGCUUGAAGAGGAGCUUGCGGCAGAUUAGCUAGUUGGUAAGGUAAUGGCUUACCAAGGCUACGAUCUGUAACCGGUCUAAGAGGACGGUCGGUCACACUGACACUGAAUAACGGGUCAGACUCCUACGGGAGGCAGCAGUCGGGAAUUUUGGGCAAUGGGCGAAAGCCUGACCCAGCAACGCCGCGUGAAGGAUGAAGUAUUUCGGUAUGUAAACUUCGAAAGAAUGGGAAGAAUAAAUGACGGUACCAUUUAUAAGGUCCGGCUAACUACGUGCCAGCAGCCGCCGCCGU
rnacentral:rRNA from 1 species